CACGUAGGGUGCGAGCGUUGUCCGGAAUUAUUGGGCGUAAAGAGCUCGUAGGCGGUGUGUCGCGUCGGCCGUGAAAACCUGCAGCUUAACUGUGGGCUUGCGGUCGAUACGGGCAUCACUGGAGUUCGGCAGGGGAGACUGGAAUUCCUGGUGUAGCGGUGAAAUGCGCAGAUAAUCAGGAGGAACACCGGUGGCGAAGGCGGGUCUCUGGGCCGAUACUGACGCUGAGGAGCGAAAGUCGUGGGGAGCGAACAGG
rnacentral:rRNA from 1 species